GGAAAUCAUGGAAGUGACCCACAAUGAAAGAGCUCAUCUGACUGAGUGAAAGGACGUGAUAUCAAAUUACAGGAAACAUGCCAGUAAACGUGAGGACAGGAAAGACGGUUGAGA